rnacentral:rRNA from 1 species
GAUGAAUGCUGGCGGCGUGCCUAAUACAUGCAAGUCGAGCGGUAAGGCCCUUCGGGUACACGAGCGGCGGACGGCUGAGUAACGCGUGGGAACAUGCCCCAAAGUGAGGGAUAACGCACCGAAAGGUGUGCUAAUACCGCAUAUGGUCUUCGGAUUAAAGGAUUUAUCCGCUUUGGGAGUGGCCCGCGUACGAUUAGAUUGUUGGUGAGGUAACGGCUCACCAAGUCGACGAUCGUUAACUGGUCUGAGAGGAUGAUCAGUCAGACUGGAACUGAGACACGGUCCAGACUCCUACGGGAGGCAGCAGUAAGGAAUCUUCCACAAUGGGCGAAAGCCUGAUGGAGCAACGCCGCGUGCAGGAUGAAGGCCCUCGGGUCGUAAACUGCUUUAUGAGUGAAGAAUAUGACGGUAACUCAUGAAUAAGCACCGGCUAACUACGUGCCAGCAGCCGCGGUAA